GAUGAACGCUGGCGGCGUGCCUAAUACAUGCAAGUCGAGCGAACAGACGAGGAGCUUGCUCCUCUGAUGUUAGCGGCGGACGGGUGAGUAACACGUGGAUAACCUACCUAUAAGACUGGGAUAACUUCGGGAAACCGGAGCUAAUACCGGAUAACAUGUUGAACCGCAUGGUUCAACAGUGAAAGACGGUCUUGCUGUCACUUAUAGAUGGAUCCGCGCCGCAUUAGCUAGUUGGUAAGGUAACGGCUUACCAAGGCAACGAUGCGUAGCCGACCUGAGAGGGUGAUCGGCCACACUGGAACUGAGACACGGUCCAGACUCCUACGGGAGGCAGCAGUAGGGAAUCUUCCGCAAUGGGCGAAAGCCUGACGGAGCAAAGCCGCGUGAGUGAAGAAGGUCUUCGGAUCGUAAAACUCUGUUAUUAGGGAAGAACAAAUGUGUAAGUAACUAUGCACGUCUUGACGGUACCUAAUCAGAAAGCCACGGCUAACUACGUG
rnacentral:rRNA from 1 species